UGCGCAGGCGGGCUUGUAAGUCAGUGGUGAAAUUCUGCCGCUUAACGGUAGAACUGCCAUUGAUACUGCAAGUCUUGAAUAUGGUUGAGGUAGGCGGAAUGUGUUGUGUAGCGGUGAAAUGCAUAGAUAUGACACAGAACGCCAAUUGCGAAGGCAGCUUACUAAGCCAUUAUUGACGCUGAGGCAAGAAAGCGUGGGGAGCGAACAGGAUUAGAUACCCUGGUAGUC
rnacentral:rRNA from 1 species